CGGUGAGGGUGCUGCAGACCUGGCAGGCACUGAAACUGCAACUCGGACAGAAACGACCCAGCGGAGGAGCUGGGCGCGGGGCGCCGUGCGCAACAUCCCUGGGCGACUGGGGGCGGUCGCCGCCCAGCGCGGCGGCCCUACCUCGGCCCCCGGACUCGGGCCCCGGGCGCGCUCGUCCGGUAGAGACCUCCCAACCCUACGCAUUUCGCGGCGGCUCUGGUGCGGGGAAUGCGAGCGCGCCAGCUCCAGGUCACCGCCGUGGAGCAGCCGCCUGUAGGAAAGCGAGGAGAGGCGAGGGGGCGGCAGCCUCUGCCCAAAGUAAGUGCAGCAGAAGUUUGCAUCGGCUUCCCCGUCGCUCCCCUGGAGUGAGUGGGAGGCUUAUCUCCUGCCCUCGUUCUCUGAGGAUAGCAGACUUGCCGGCGACCCUCGCCCGGAGAGAAGGGUGAACCUGCUUUGUCUUUCCCUGAAUACAAUGAAAGUGGUUGGACCGUCCCAAGUGUUACAUGUAUCACAACUUCUCCAUCUGCAGAUGCUCCCCACUCACCCCUCCAGUCUGGUCCAGUAUUGAACACACAGAAGACUCUGUGAUUUGAUGCUGUAAGUCAAUGCAGAAAGCUGAUCUAGUUUACUAGGAGCAGCUUUUUAAGUCUGCAUCUAUUGUAUAAAAUUUGUUUGUAUGCACAUAACAACAAAGGAACAUUUAUUUGACUAAACUUAUAAAGUGAAGUGAAGUGAAAGUCGCUCAGUCAUGUCUGACUCUUUGCGACCCCAUGGACUUAUCCAGUCCAUGGUAUUCUCCAGGCCAGUAUAAUGGAGUGAGUAGCCUUUCCCUUCUCUAGUGGAUCUUCCUGACCCGGGGAAGAACAGGG
rnacentral:lncRNA from 1 species